rnacentral:rRNA from 1 species
UUUCGGCUCGUAAAACACUGUUGUAAGAGAAGAAUGACAUUGAGAGUAACUGUUCAAUGUGUGACGGUAUCUUACCAGAAAGGAACGGCUAAAUACGUGCCAGCAGCCGCGGUAAUACGUAUGUUCCAAGCGUUAUCCGGAUUUAUUGGGCGUAAAGCGAGCGCAGACGGUUAUUUAAGUCUGAAGUGAAAGCCCUCAGCUCAACUGAGGAAUUGCUUUGGAAACUGGAUGACUUGAGUGCAGUAGAGGAAAGUGGAACUCCAUGU